rnacentral:tRNA from 2 species
GGCCCUGUCGUCUAGCCUGGUCUAGGACAUCGCCCUUUCAAGGCGGUAACACGGGUUCAAAUCCCGUCAGGGUCACCA